GUGUCAGCAGCCGCGGUAAGACAGAGGCCCCGAGCGUUAGUCGGAAUUACUGGGCUUAAAGGGUGCGUAGGCGGGCGUGUAAGUGUCUUGUGAAAGCCCUGGGCUCAACCCAGGAACCGCAGGGCAUACUGCACGUCUCGAAGAAGCUAGAGGCCGGUGGAACGAUCGGUGGAGCGGUGGAAUGCGUAGAGAUCGAUCGGAACGCCAAGGGUGAAGACAACCGGCUGGGGCUUUCUUGACGCUGAGGCACGAAAGCGUGGGGAUCAAACAGGAUUAGAUACCCUUGUAGUCC
rnacentral:rRNA from 1 species